rnacentral:rRNA from 1 species
CCGUUGUACACACCGCCCGUCACACCACGAAAGUUGUUUAUACCAGAAGCCGGUGUACUAACCGCAAGGAGGUAGCCGUUCAAGGCAUGAACAAUGAUUGGGUG